CCUACGGGAGGCAGCAGUGGGGAAUAUUGGACAAUGGGGGGAACCCUGAUCCAGCGACGCCGCGUGAGUGAAGAAGUAUUUCGGUAUGUAAAGCUCUAUCAGCAGGGAAGAAAGAAAUGACGGUACCUGACUAAGAAGCCCCGGCUAACUACGUGCCAGCAGCCGCGGUAAUACGUAGGGGGCAAGCGUUAUCCGGAUUUACUGGGUGUAAAGGGAGCGUAGACGGCGAUGCAAGUCUGAAGUGAAAGGCGGGGGCCUAACCCCUGGACUGCUUUGGAUACUGUAUGGCUGGAGUGCAGGAGAGGUAAGUGGAAUGCCUAGUGUAGCGGUGAAAUGCGUAGAUAUUAGGAGGAACACCAGUGGCGAAGGCGGCUUACUGGACUGUAACUGACGUUGAGGCUCGAAAGCGUGGGGAGCAAACAGGAUUAGAUACCCUUGUAGUC
rnacentral:rRNA from 1 species